CCUACGGGGGGCAGCAGUAGGGAAUAUUGCACAAUGGGCGCAAGCCUGAUGCAGCCAUGCCGUGUGUAUGAAGAAGGCCUUCGGGUUGUAAAGUACUUUCAGCGGGGAGGAAGGUGUUGUGGUUAAUAACCACAGCAAUUGACGUUACCCGCAGAAGAAGCACCGGCUAACUCCGUGCCAGCAGCCGCGCUAAUACGGAGGGUGCAAGCGUUAAUCGGAAUUACUGGGCGUAAAGCGCACGCAGGCGGUCUGUCAAGUCGGAUGUGAAAUCCCCGGGCUCAACCUGGGAACUACAUUCGAAACUGGCAGGCUAGAGUCUUGUAGAGGGGGGUAGAAUUCCAGGUGUAGCGGUGAGAUGCGUAGAGAUCUGGAGGAAUACCGGUGGCGAAGGCGGCCCCUGGACAAAGACUGACGCUCAGGUGCGAAAGCGUGGGGAGCAAACAGGAUUAGAUACCCGCGUAGUC
rnacentral:rRNA from 1 species